rnacentral:tRNA from 1 species
UCCCUGGUAGCUCAGCUGGUAAAGAAUCCACCUGCAAUGUAGGAGAUCCUGGUUCGAUUCCUGGUUUGGGAA